UUUGAUCCUGGCUCAGGACGAACGCUGGCGGCGUGCCUAAUACAUGCAAGUCGAGCGGACUUAAAAAGCUUGCUUUUUAAGNUUAGCGGCGGACGGGUGAGUAACACGUGGGCAACCUGCCUGUAAGACUGGGAUAACUUCGGGAAACCGGAGCUAAUACCGGAUAAUCCUUUUCUACUCAUGUAGAAAAGCUGAAAGACGGUUUACGCUGUCACUUACAGAUGGGCCCGCGGCGCAUUAGCUAGUUGGUGAGGUAACGGCUCACCAAGGCGACGAUGCGUAGCCGACCUGAGAGGGUGAUCGGCCACACUGGGACUGAGACACGGCCCAGACUCCUACGGGAGGCAGCAGUAGGGAAUCUUCCGCAAUGGACGAAAGUCUGACGGAGCAACGCCGCGUGAGUGAUGAAGGUUUUCGGAUCGUAAAACUCUGUUGUUAGGGAAGAACAAGUACGAGAGUAACUGCUCGUACCUUGACGGUACCUAACCAGAAAGCCACGGCUAACUACGUGCCAGCAGCCGCGGUAAUACGUAGGUGGCAAGCGUUGUCCGGAAUUAUUGGGCGUAAAGCGCGCGCAGGCGGUCCUUUAAGUCUGAUGUGAAAGCCCACGGCUCAACCGUGGAGGGUCAUUNGAAACUGGGGGACUUGAGUGCAGAAGAGAAGAGUGGAAUUCCACGUGUAGCGGUGAAAUGCGUANANAUGUGGAGGAACACCAGUGGCGAAGGCGAC
rnacentral:rRNA from 2 species